AAUCACUUAACUAAUGAAGUCAGUUCAUAUCAUACCCCAUAACUCUUCCUUCAUGAUCAUAACAUCACCUGGCCUCUUAAUUCCCGGGUACACCAACAAACCCACUUGGCAAUUCUCAUCUCUGUAUUUUACCAUGUGGACAUACUCUUCCGUUUCCUUCCAUGUUUCGCUGUCGAAUAUUAUUCCACAUCUAACAAAACCACAUCCCAACAGAUCCGAACACAGGUUUCGGUAAUACCCAAGAGAAUGUGGCAGCCGAAGAGGAGAGUCCAAGAAAGAGACCACGGGUGGAGCUGAACAGAACUCAGCCACCCCCAGAGGAAUGUGGCAUUAUCCAACCCCACACACAGCUGCUCAGUGUCCCCCAAGCCACACAUGAAAAUAAUGAGCUGCAGCCUGACACUGAUGAGUGUGCUCCCCAUUGCACUGCACCAGCUCCAUGUGCUGAUUUUGGGUGUGAAACUGAAGGGGUUGGAGGAAACCCGACUCGGCCAUCAAGCUCACCAAAAUACAAGACAUCAAAACUGCAAUUGUUGCAGAAGACGGUCUGCCGUCUGCGCCGGCAGGUGAGGCAGCUCAAAGCUCAGGCCAUUACCACUCCUGGGCAGUUUUUGGCCAAAGCCAGCAAUUUCCUAGAUCCAAAAGUGGUGGAUUUUUUCAAAGGACAGGUUCAACAUGCUGCAAGAUCUAAGCCUGGUAGGAGAUAUGGGGUACAAGAGAGGAGGUUUGCUCUGGCCUUGUACUAUCAAAGUCCAAAGGCUUAUCGAUUUCUCAGCACAGUAUUUCAUUUGCCUUCAGUUUCAACACUUCACUCAUGGCUCAGGGGUAUUUCACUAAAUGUUGGCUGGAGCAAACAGACUCUGACAGCCCUGAAGAAAAGAGCACAGGCUUUGUCAAAAGAAGAGACACUUUGUGGGAUUGCAUUUGAUGCCAUGAGUAUUAAAGAAUCAUUGCAUUUUGACAAAGCCUCUGAUUCUAUCAUAGGAAGGGAGGAUUUCGGAGAGCAUGGGAAGAGUUUGAAACCAGCAAAUCAUGCACUCGUGUUCGUGGUUAAGGGCUUAUUGAAAAAAUGGAAACUUGUUUUAGGAUGUUUCUUUUAUUCGGGAGGGAUUAAAACUUGUAAAAUCAGGGAACUGUAUGAAACAGCAAUAAAAAAAGUCAAGGACACGGGACACAGAGUUAUGUUUACAGUUUGUGAUCAAGAGGGAGUGCAUCGUUCCUUGUUCCAGACUCUUGGCAU